UGGGGAAUUUUGGACAAUGGGCGAAAGCCUGAUCCAGCAAUGCCGCGUGUGUGAAGAAGGCCUUCGGGUUGUAAAGCACUUUUGUCCGGAAAGAAAUCCUUGGCUCUAAUACAGUCGGGGGAUGACGGUACCGGAAGAAUAAGCACCGGCUAACUACGUGCCAGCAGCCGCGGUAAUACGUAGGGUGCAAGCGUUAAUCGGAAUUACUGGGCGUAAAGCGUGCGCAGGCGGUUUGCUAAGACCGAUGUGAAAUCCCCGGGCUCAACCUGGGAACUGCAUUGGUGACUGGCAGGCUAGAGUAUGGCAGAGGGGGGUAGAAUUCCACGUGUAGCAGUGAAAUGCGUAGAGAUGUGGAGGAAUACCGAUGGCGAAGGCAGCCCCCUGGGCCAAUACUGACGCUCAUGCACGAAAGCGUGGGGGAGCAAACAGGAUUAGAUACCCUGGUAGUCCACGCCCUAAAACGAUGUCAACUAGUUGUUGGGGAUUCAUUUCCUUAGUAACGUAGCUAACGCGUGAAGUUGACCGCCUGGGGAGUACGGUCGCAAGAUUAAAACUCAAAGGAAUUGACGGGG
rnacentral:rRNA from 1 species